ACAGCACAUUUUCCUUGUAAGGGAGAUCCAGCAGGAUGGCCACCCAGUAAUCAGCACAAGUUAGAAUGUGAGCAACUCGGCAGUCGUUGCACAGGCACUUUGGUGACUCUAGAUAAUCUUGGGCCGAUCGCACGUCGGCGACGACGCAUUCGGAUGUCUGCCCUAUAAACUUUAAUGGUACUUUCUGUGCCUACCAUGGUGACCAUGGGUAAUGGGGAAUCAGGGUUCGAUUCCG